rnacentral:rRNA from 1 species
CUCCGGUUGAUCCCGCCGACCCUGACUGCUAUCGGAUUGGUACUAAGCCAUGCGAGUCAUUGUAGCAAUACAAGGCGGACGGCUCAGUAACACGUAGUCAACCUAACUCGUGGACGUGGAUAACCUCGGGAAACUGAGAAUAAACCACGAUAGAUCAUAGUGCCUGGAAUGGCUUAUGGUCCAAGCAGUUUACUGCCAUGGGAUGGGACUGCGGCCUAUCAGCUUGUUGGUGAGGUAAUGGCCCACCAAGGCGAUUACAGGUACGGGCUCUGAGAGGAGAAGCCCGGAGAUGGGUACUGAGACACGGACCCAGGCCCUAUGGGGCGCAGCAGGCGAGAAACCUUAGCAAUGUGCGAAAGCACGACUGGGUCAGUCCGAGUGAUUCCUGAUAAAGGAGUCUUUUGCUUGUCCUAAAAGCACAGGCGAAUAAGGGGUGGGCAAGUCUGGUGUCAGCCGCCGCGGUAAUACCAGCACCCCGAGUGGUCGGGACGUUUAUUGGGCCUAAAGCAUCCGUAGCCGGUUCUACAAGUCUUCCGUUAAAUCCACCUGCUUAACAGAUGGGCUGCGGAAGAUACUAUAGAGCUAGGAGGCGGGAGAGGCAAGCGGUACUCGAUGGGUAGGGGUAAAAUCCGUUGAUCCAUUGAAGACCACCAGUGGCGAAGGCGGCUUGCCAGAACGCGCUCGACGGUGAGGGAUGAAAGCUGGGGGAGCAAACCGGAUUAGAUACCCGGGUAGUCCCAGCUGUAAACGAUGCAGACUCGGUGAUGAGUUGGCUUAUUGCUAACUCAGUGCCGCAGGGAAGCCGUUAAGUUUGCCGCCUGGGGAGUACGGUCGCAAGACUGAAACUUAAAGGAAUUGGCGGGGGAGCA